GUUGAAACACUGGUUCCUGUAUGAUCACUGAAGUUAAUCCAUUUUGAGCCUGGUCAGUAUCUAGAUUGGUGACCAUUUGGCAAUACCAGGUGCUGUAG